UGUGGGGAGUUCUUACUCUUCCAGUCAGGGUUAGGUUGGGCCACCUGUAGUGGGCUGCUGAGAAAAAAGUUGAAUCAGAACUAGCCCUGUCCUUGAGGAACAAACAUGGGACUCUGCCACCAGUGACAUGCACAGGGUAUGAAUGGUGUCUUUGGAGUAUGGAAAACAUAAGUCCAGUUUACUCAGGAAUGAACAGAGAUGUGACAGGAAAUCGUCCUUAAAUAUUUGCUCUGCCUGGUUACACAAUGGAAGGAUAGAUACCACCUGGCUUAGAGGCACCUGUGAGCCUGGGAGCUUCCUGAGGAGGGGCAGGAAGAUCUUGAAGCUGAGUCACCGACCUGAGGCUGGGCGUGGCUGCAGAUCUGGGACCUCUUAUCAGUCUGUAGGGGUGACUGUCUGGCUGCCUGGAGUCCCCAAAGGGGCUAUUCUUGAAGAAGAAUCCUUCCCAUUGUGUCAUGUAACUUUCUUACAACUUACCUGUAAGCUUGAAAUGUUUCAAAAUAAAAAGAGUUUUUUAAAAAACA